rnacentral:rRNA from 1 species
CCUACGGGAGGCAGCAGUGAGGAAUAUUGGUCAAUGGACGAGAGUCUGAACCAGCCACGUAGCGUGAAGGAUGACUGCCCUAUGGGUUGUAAACUUCUUUUAUAUGGGAAUAAACUGUUCCACGUGUGGGAUUUUGUAUGUACCAUAUGCAUAAGGAUCGGCUCACUCCGUGCCAGCAGCCGCGGUACUACGGAGGAUACGAGCGUUAUCCGGAUUUAUUGGGUUUAAAGGGAGCGUAGGUGGAUUGUUAAGUCAGUUGUGAAAGUUUGCGGCUCAACCGUAAAAUUGCAGUUGAAACUGGCAGUCUUGAGUACAGUAGAGGUGGGCGGAAUUCGUGGUGUAGCGGUGAAAUGCUUAGAUAUCACGAAGAACUCCGAUUGCGAAGGCAGCCUACUAAACUGCCACUGACAUUGAUGCUCGAAAGUGUGGGUAUCAAACAGGAUUAGAUACCCUGGUAGUC